UGUGGGAGCGAGCCUGCUCGCGAUAGCGGUGUGUCAGACACCAUCAAUGUUGACUGACGGGCAGCUAUCGCGAGCAGGCUCGCUCCUACA
rnacentral:misc_RNA from 1 species